UCUGCCAUUUGGGAUGCAAUGUUGGGAGGCCGCUGGUCUCUCCGCUUUGCAUCCUUUCCUGCCUGGACCUGGCUGCCCCGACACCCUCCAGGACCCAGGCAGGGCCAGCCAGUGAGGGAAAGGCUAGAGAGAGGACAGCCUGGAAGAGCUGGGCAUUCAGGGAGCGUGGACUAGGCUGACUGGAAAGACUACAGGGAACAGGUCCACCACCCACCAGGGCGCCUCCUGGGCCGCAGGAACGAUGCUGACCAACCUCCAGCACUUCGUCAAAUCACAGGACUGUAAGACUGAGAAAUCCUCCCUGCCCUCAAGUCCUGGACCCCCACGACAGGACAUUAUU